CACGGGCUCCCUCCAUAUGACGGUGGCUUGGCAUUCGGGACACCAGCUUUAGAUGGUGGCAGAGCUCUGGAGGCUGAGGAAAGGAGCCGAGGUCUGUUUAGCUCCAUUCUCUUCUGCUGAGAGCUCCACUGCUCCCUCUCCACUGCUACCGUCUCCUUGCUCCAAAUAGGAUUCUCUCCUCUCCUGGCCCACUCUAGCAGAGUCUUACACACAGGCAUUCUGAGAGUUUCCUCAAAGCUUUGGCUACUACUUUCUAAGGCUCACAAACAAACCUCCUUUCAGAAAACGUUAUCUGGUUAUAUUAUCCAAAAUCAAGACUUUUCACCUCAAAACUGGCUUGGAGAAAUCAUGGGUUCCUAUCAAGACGCCAAAUGGUACAGCAUGUUGCAUCCUCCUCCCAAAACUUCAGAAGUCCUAAGGAACUAUGCAUUCCCAGAAAUAACAAGAGUGACAACCCUGGGAAAUGACAGAGGCCUGAAGGCUGUCUCUUAAUUGGUGGGUAGCCUGGGGUUAGGGGCAGUGGGUGGCAGCCUUGAGGGGCUCAGUGUGAGGGAAAAUUUUAAGGACCGUUCUUGCCUCUCCCCUGAGUUGCUUGGAAGCGAUCACUUUCCUUUCUCAGUAGAAACAAGUAGCAACCACCCAGAUGUAGCUAGGAUAAAAUUAGAGUAGCAUUAGGUUAGCUGAUGAAAGCAGGGAAGGGCUGAACAAUCCUUGAUCCUUCACUCCUCCACCUCCUCCGUCUCCCAAGCCCCAGGUGACAACCUCAAAUGCCUCCUCAAAUGCCGCUUUCCCCAAGAGCUCAAAGGUGACAGAUCCUGACCACAGGAGUUGAGUGGUCACAGUGUUUCACGGUUUCUGAGACUGUCUGCGCCUGGGGCCAUCACCUCCCCUCAUAUUAAACUUACUUAGAAAAACACACCUUAGGCACUAGGUCUCAACAAAGGUGACUAUAUAAUACAGCACCCAGGAGAGGACACUUCUGAGAGUGAAAAGGACACACUAUUAAUAAUUAUUCUGAGA